CCUACGGGAGGCAGCAGUGAGGAAUAUUGGUCAAUGGGCGGAAGCCUGAACCAGCCAAGUCGCGUGAGGGAAUAAGGCCCUACGGGUCGUAAACCUCUUUUGUCAGGGAGCAACGCCGGCUACGUGUAGCCGGACUGAGAGUACCUGAAGAAAAAGCAUCGGCUAACUCCGUGCCAGCCGCCGCGGUCAUACGGAGGAUGCGAGCGUUAUCCGGAUUUAUUGGGUUUAAAGGGUGCGUAGGCGGAAUGCCAAGUCAGCGGUAAAAUCGCGGGGCUCAACCUCGCUCCGCCGUUGAAACUGGCGUUCUUGAGUGGGCGAGAAGUAUGCGGAAUGCGUGGUGUAGCGGUGAAAUGCAUAGAUAUCACGCAGAACUCCGAUUGCGAAGGCAGCAUACCGGCGCCCAACUGACGCUGAAGCACGAAAGCGUGGGUAUCGAACAGGAUUAGAUACCCGUGUAGUC
rnacentral:rRNA from 1 species